AGGUGGGAGGAUUGCUUGAGUCUCGGAGGUGGAGGCUGCAGUGAGCUAUGAUUGCACCACUGCACUCCAGCCUGAGUGACAGAAAAAGACCCUGUCUCA
rnacentral:miRNA from 1 species